rnacentral:rRNA from 1 species
UCGCUACUACCGAUUGAAUGGCUUAGUGAGCUCUUUGGACUGCGGUUCUUCUCCAGGGUUUCCUGGUUGUUCUGCGGAAAGAGGGACAAACUUGAUCAUUUAGAGGAAGUAA